UGGGAAUUUUGGACAAUGGACGCAAGUCUGAUCCAGCCAUGCCGCGUGCGGGAAGAAGGCCUUCGGGUUGUAAACCGCUUUUGUCAGGGAAGAAACGAGUUUCUCUAAUACAGAGACUUAAUGACGGUACCUGAAGAAUAAGCACCGGCUAACUACGUGCCAGCAGCCGCGGUAAUACGUAGGGUGCAAGCGUUAAUCGGAAUUACUGGGUGUAAAGCGUGCGCAGGCGGUUAUGCAAGACAGAGGUGAAAUCCCCGGGCUCAACCCGGGAACUGCCUUUGUGACUGCAUAGCUAGAGUACGGUAGAGGGGGAUGGAAUUCCGCGUGUAGCAGUGAAAUGCGUAGAUAUGCGGAGGAACACCGAUGGCGAAGGCAAUCCCCUGGACCUGUACUGACGCUCAUGCACGAAAGCGUGGGGAGCAAACA
rnacentral:rRNA from 1 species